GAUGAAGAACGUAGCGAAAUGCGAUAAGUAAUGUGAAUUGCAGAAUUCAGUGAAUCAUCGAAUCUUUGAACGCACCUUGCACUCCUUGAUAUUCCGAGGAGUACGCCUGUUCGAGUGUUAUGAAGCUCUCAAAACGCAAUUGGCUUAAAACCUGAUUGUUGUUUUGGAUUUGAACUUUGCCGUGUUAUAACGGCUGGUUUUAAAAGUAUUAGCUGGUACUAGAACGAAUUGGUUCUACUCAACGUGAUAAUUAUCUGAUCGUUGAGGACAUUCCUUUCACGAGGAAUGGCCAUAGUAAAUUCAAUGGACUGCUUCUAAUCUGGCUUUAAUUCUUUAUUGGAUUAACCACUUUUCAAAUCUGACCUCGAAUCAGGUGGGACUACCCGCUGAACUUAAGCAUAUCAAUAAGCGGAGGA
rnacentral:misc_RNA from 1 species